rnacentral:rRNA from 1 species
CAGUAGCCACGGUAAUACGUAGGGUGCGAGCGUUAAUCGGAAUUACUGGGCGUAAAGCGUGCGCAGGCGGUUGUGUAAGACAGGUGUGAAAUCCCCGGGCUUAACCUGGGAACUGCGCUUGUGACUGCACAGCUAGAGUAUGGCAGAGGGGGGUGGAAUUCCACGUGUAGCGGUGAAAUGCGUUGAGAUCGGAAAGAACACCAACGGCGAAAGCACUCUGCUGGGCCGGCACUGACACUGAGAGACGAAAGCUAGGGGAGCAAAUGGGAUUAGAUACCCGAGUAGUCCCUGUCUCUUAUAC